UAGUGUGGAGAAACGCAUAGUUCAUGUACUUUCACUACAUAUCUUUUAAUUAAUCACAAUGGCAAAUAUGAAUACCAAGCCCUUUUUCUUUUUCUGCUUGUUUUGCACAUUGUUGCUCAUCUCUGCUGUGGUGGCAAUUGAUCAACCAUUCAAAGAUGAGAAACAAGUACACCCUGACCGCUGGGGAGGAGGUGGUCACGGAGGAGGUGGCGGCUGGGGAGGAGGUGGUCAUGGAGGACGCGGUGGAGGCUGGGGAGGAGGUGGUCAUGGAGGACAUGGCGGAGGGUGGGGACAUGGAGGACCAGAUCGCUGAUGAGAUAUUGCGGCGGUUAUCCGUUGCUAAUGAUGUAAAAAUAUUAAAAAUAAAAACCUAGAUGCAUUCCAUGUACUAAUUAUAGCAUCUAUGAACUAAGAAAUAAACUAUGGGCUACUAUGUAUACACUAUAUAUACACCAUGCUCUUGGACUAUAUACCAUUAAUUAUAUAUGUUAUAUCUUUAAUAUCA